ACGGGAGGCAGCAGUGGGGAAUCUUGCACAAUGGGGGAAACCCUGAUGCAGCGAUGCCGCGUGAGUGAAGAAGGCCCUUGGGUUGUAAAACUCUUUCGUCGGGGAAGAAAAUGACUGUACCCGAAUAAGAAGGUCCGGCUAACUUCGUGCCAGCAGCCGCGGUAAUACGAAGGGACCUAGCGUAGUUCGGAAUUACUGGGCUUAAAGAGCUCGUAGGUGGUUAAAAAAGUUGAUGGUGAAAUCCCAAGGCUUAACCUUGGAACUGCCAUCAAAACUUUUUAGCUAGAGUGUGAUAGAGGUAAGUGGAAUUUCUAGUGUAGAGGUGAAAUUCGUAGAUAUUAGAAAGAACACCAAAUGCGAAGGCAACUUACUGGAUCAUUACUGACACUGAGGAGCGAAAGCAUGGGUAGCGAAGAGGAUUAGAUACCCUCGUAGUCCAUGCCGUAAACGAUGUGUG
rnacentral:rRNA from 1 species